UACCUGGUUGAUUCUGCCAGUAGUCAUAUGCUUGUCUCAAAGAUUAAGCCAUGCAUGUCUAAGUAUAAGCAAUUUAUACCGUGAAACUGCGAAUGGCUCAUUAAAUCAGUUAUCGUUUAUUUGAUAGUACCUUACUACUUGGAUAACCGUGGUAAUUCUAGAGCUAAUACAUGCUAAAAGCCCCGACUUCGGAAGGGGUGUAUUUAUUAGAUAAAAAACCAAUGCCCUCCGGGGCUCCUUGGUGAUUCAUAAUAACUUAACGAAUCGCAUGGCCUUGUGCCGGCGAUGGUUCAUUCAAAUUUCUGCCCUAUCAACUUUCGAUGGUAGUAUAUGGGACUACCAUGGUUUCAACGGGUAACGGGGAAUUAGGGUUCUAUUCCGGAGAGGGAGCCUGAGAAACGGCUACCACAUCCAAGGAAGGCAGCAGGCGCGCAAAUUACCCAAUCCCGACACGGGGAGGUAGUGACAAUAAAUACUGAUACAGGGCUCUUUUGGGU
rnacentral:ncRNA from 1 species